AUUGAACGCUGGCGGCAUGCUUUACACAUGCAAGUCGAACGGCAGCACGGACUUCGGUCUGGUGGCGAGUGGCGAACGGGUGAGUAAUACAUCGGAACGUGCCCAGUUGUGGGGGAUAACUACUCGAAAGAGUAGCUAAUACCGCAUGAGAACUGAGGUUGAAAGCAGGGGAUCGUAAGACCUUGCGCAACUGGAGCGGCCGAUGGCAGGUUAGGUAGUUGGUGGGAUAAAAGCUUACCAAGCCGACGAUCUGUAGCUGGUCUGAGAGGACGACCAGCCACACUGGGACUGAGACACGGCCCAGACUCCUACGGGAGGCAGCAGUGGGGAAUUUUGGACAAUGGGCGAAAGCCUGAUCCAGCAAUGCCGCGUGCAGGAUGAAGGCCUUCGGGUUGUAAACUGCUUUUGUACGGAACGAAAAGCUUCGGGUUAAUACCCUGGAGUCAUGACGGUACCGUAAGAAUAAGCACCGGCUAACUCUGUGCCAGCCGCCGCGGUAAGAC
rnacentral:rRNA from 1 species